rnacentral:rRNA from 1 species
GGAUGAACGCUAGCGGCAGGCCUAAUACAUGCAAAUCGAACGCGAAAGGGGCUUCGGCCCUGAGUAAAGUGGCGCACGGGUGAGUAACGCGUGGAUAAUCUGCCCUGUGAUCUGGGAUAACACUUCGAAAGGGGUGCUAAUACCGGAUAAGACCACGGAGUCUUAGGACUCUGCGGUAAAAGGUGGGGACCUUCGGGCCUACCGUCAUCGGAUGAGUCCGCGUACCAUUAGCUAGUUGGUAGGGUAAGAGCCUACCAAGGCGACGAUGGUUAGCUGGUCUGAGAGGAUGAUCAGCCACACUGGAACUGAGACACGGUCCAGACUCCUACGGGAGGCAGCAGUGGGGAAUUUUGCGCAAUGGGGGAAACCCUGACGCAGCAACGCCGCGUGAGUGAUGAAGGCCUUCGGGUCGUAAAGCUCUGUCAGAGGGGAAGAAGUGUGCGGGUGCUAAUAUCAUCUGCGCUUGACGGUACCCUCAAAGGAAGCACCGGCUAACUCCGUGCCAGCAGCCGCGGUAAUACGGAGGGUGCGAGCGUUGUUCGGAAUUAUUGGGCGUAAAGCGCGUGUAGGCGGUUUGAUAAGUCUGAUGUGAAAGCCCCGGGCUCAACCCGGGAAGUGCAUUGGAAACUGUCAGGCUUGAAUACGGGAGAGGGCAGUGGAAUUCCUAGUGUAGGAGUGAAAUCCGUAGAUAUUAGGAGGAACACCGGUGGCGAAGGCGGCUGCCUGGACCGAUAUUGACGCUGAGACGCGAAAGCGUGGGGAGCAAACAGGAUUAGAUACCCUGGUAGUCCACGCCGUAAACGAUGAGUACUAGGUGUUGCGGGUAUUGACCCCUGCAGUGCCGCAGCUAACGCAUUAAGUACUCCGCCUGGGAAGUACGGCCGCAAGGCUA